UACGUAGGGUGCGAGCGUUGUCCGGAAUUAUUGGGCGUAAAGAGCUUGUAGGCGGUUUGUCGCGUCUGCCGUGAAAAUCCGGGGCUCAACCCCGGACUUGCGGUGGGUACGGGCAGACUAGAGUGUGGUAGGGGAGACUGGAAUUCCUGGUGUAGCGGUGAAAUGCGUAGAUAUCUGGAGGAACACCGGUGGCGAAGGCGGCGUUCUGGACUGCAACUGACACUGAGGAACGAAAGCCAGGGGAGCAAACGGG
rnacentral:rRNA from 1 species